AGAGUUUGAUCAUGGCUCAGGACGAACGCUGGCGGCGCGCCUAACACAUGCAAGUCGAACGAGCGAGAGAAAGCUUGCUUUCUCAAGCGAGUGGCGAACGGGUGAGUAACGCGUGAGGAACCUGCCUCAAAGAGGGGGACAACAGUUGGAAACGACUGCUAAUACCGCAUAAGCCCACGGCUCGGCAUCGAGCAGAGGGAAAAGGAGCAAUCCGCUUUGAGAUGGCCUCGCGUCCGAUUAGCUAGUUGGUGAGGUAACGGCCCACCAAGGCGACGAUCGGUAGCCGGACUGAGAGGUUGAACGGCCACAUUGGGACUGAGACACGGCCCAGACUCCUACGGGAGGCAGCA
rnacentral:rRNA from 1 species